UACGGAGGAUGCAAGCGUUAUCCGGAAUGAUUGGGCGUAAAGCGUCCGCAGGUGGCUGUGUAAGUCUGCUGUUAAAGAGUGAGGCUCAACCUCAUAAAAGCAGUGGAAACUACACGGCUAGAGUGCGUUCGGGGCAGAGGGAAUUCCUGGUGUAGCGGUGAAAUGCGUAGAUAUCAGGAAGAACACCGGUGGCGAAAGCGCUCUACUGGACCGCAACUGACACUCAGGGACGAAAGCUAGGGGAGCGAAUGGG
rnacentral:rRNA from 1 species